AAAACACACUGGAGUUUUGGGAAGUAAUAAGAAUUCUUGAGAGCAUUCACUCAAAUUUUUCCCUCUUGCGUUCUUAUUUUCUACGAUUAUCAGAAGCUCGAUUGGUUUGGAAGCUCAUCAGAGAUCUAUCACACUAUCCAACAUAAAUAUCAGUAGAUUUUGAAUACUUUAGCCAAGGUUAUAAUGGCAUGUAUAGGUUGAAUUGUAAUGUCAUUAUGAUGAAUGUUUAAUUGGUAGAUUGACUUGUAAAA